rnacentral:lncRNA from 1 species
UACUUAUAUAGAAAAGCAGAGUAAUCAGUCGGUGCAUAUAGUUUUGGAGGAAACAGGGGAAACUGAAUUAGGGUUACAGAAGUCGCCACCGUUAAGGAGGUGGAGCCAGCCUUGUGUGUACUGAAGCUUAUAUAGGCAUAUACUCACGGUUGUGUGUUGCUGUUGGUGCGGGUUCGGAGCAUAAGCGAUGGUGGUGGUGUGUCGAUUGAUGGCGGCGGCUUGCCGCCUGUUGGAUUGAUCGCGACUGAAUCGAUGGAGAAGGGGGCCGCGUUAGCAGAUGGAGAAAUAAGGUGAGAGAUCGAGUUAGAUAUGAUGGUAGAGAGGCUGGGUUGAUUGUGAAGCUGUUGAUGGUGCGGCGAAAGCAUGGAUGAAGGAUGGUUGCCGAGCGACGGUGAAAGUCGCAUGAGAUGCAGGUAGGGUGCGAGAACAGCCCUGUAGUGCUGCCGUGUUGUGGCUUAUAUGCUGCAGCGAGAAGGGAGGAGGGAUCAGCUGUGACAGAGAGAGGGAGGCAGACAAGUGUUUGAUUAAAUGUCUGUGAGAAAGAAAAGCUGGAGAAGGUGGGGUGCGGCUGCUGUUAGGUGUUGUAUAGAAGUGGGGGUGAUGAGUUGUGUUGGAAGUUGAAUGAAGGAGCUACUGUGAGCUGGUUUAUGAAGGCAGGAGUGUGUCGAUGGUUGUAGUGGGUCUGCUGGUUGGAGGCAGAUGCUUGUAUGGUUACCGGGGCAACGCGGAGGCAGUUGUUGUCACAGGUGGGUACUUGUGCCCAUAGGUCAGUCGUGUGAUUGAUUGUUGGAUUGAGUGCUGGUUGGAUUUGACGGGAGUUGUAGACGGUAGUGGGACAGCCAGAAUCUGGCCAGCCUAUUGCAGGAACAGGGGUAUGGGGAGGUGAUGUUCAUGACAUGAUUUGGUUGGAGAAAGUAAUGGGGAUAUUGAUAACGAUAAAGUCUGGUUCCGGCAGGUAGAGGUUUAGUUGUGGAUGGCGCUUUGAACUCGGCAAGUUGAUUAUAAUCAGGAGGGGAGUUUGAUGUGAAAAUUGAUGUAUAAAACAGUUCUGGCGUAGCCACCGGAGACUGGUCGGUGGUGCAAUACGAUUGUAGGUGUGUGUAUGAGUUGGAUACUUGUGGUGGAACAGUGCUUUAGACGGGAUAGUGGUGAAGGCUGGGGAAGAGGAAAUAUGAUAUGUUUUGUUAGAAGGGUUGCAGAAAGAAUUAGAGAGGAUACAGAGGUGCCAGGAGAAUAAAAUGUUAAUUUUAUUGUUGUUAUAAUUGUUAUUAUUGUUUUUAUUAACAAUGAUAAUAACGAUAAUAAUAAUAAUCUUUAAUAUUCUAUUGAGCCAAUUAUAGGUAACUGCCGAUUAAAUAGCAUGGAAUAGUGGCUUGUAUAUAAAUAUUAGUGUUGAUUUAAAUUCCGGAUUAUAUUUAUUUAAAAUCCCGCGACAAUUAUUAUAAAUUUUAUCUAAAAUUUCAGAAGUUAUUAUCUACUUCUGGAAGUCAAUUAUUGAUUUCGGAUUAAAAAUAUUAUAAUAUUGUCGCUAUUAUUUUAGUUUAAAUCCCAGAUUGAUUAUUGAUUAUGAAUUAUUAUUAAUUGUGACUUGUUAAAUUGUCGGAUGUUAUUGUUAUUUGAAUCACAUACUUAGCUAUAUAAGCUGGUGUUUUGACUUAUAUUUAUAUUGGACGGGAUUGUUGUGUUAUUGAAUUGUGGUACUCAAUUUUAAAAAGUGUUCUGUCCAAAUUUCAAAUAAUUUAUUAUUUUAUAUUUGUUUAAAUGUUGAGCUGAUUUGAGAUAUGAUUGAAUUACAAUUGGACUUGUAAUUCGGAUUUGGAAUUUAUCUAGGGAUGUAUUAUUGAGUGUUCAUAUAUAUAAUCAAAUAUGAGAUUAUAUACAGGAGUUAUCAGAUUAUAUUUGUAUGAAUAUUAAAGCAUGCAAAUUCUCUGUUAUGUGCUGAUGUGACUAAUUGCAAUACUAUGUGUAUCUAUUACCUAUAUGUAUUAUAUAUGUUUAUAUUGCGAAGGGGUAGUAAUAUAAAUUCGAUUCUGCGAAUUGACACUGCACUGGAUUGCUCUCGACUAAAAUAUUAUACUGCUGUUAUAUAUAGUCUCUCGAGACGUGUGCACCAACAAUUUUCAUAAAGCAAGCAAAUAGCGUGGCAAGGCAAGUCAGAAAUAAUUCGAUAAGGCAGAUGGUGCCGUAAGAUAGUCCAAUAGAGUGUGGUAAUUGGUGAGGUUAGCAAUUAAAGCCAAUCUAGGAAUCUCGAGUAUGUGACUAGGUUGUCACAAGCAUUUCUGUCAAAGGCAAGUAUUCCUAUUCUUCUCUUUUAUUUAAAGAGCAACUAUUUCAAUUCCUCUUUUCAUAAAGCAAGUUUGCAAUUAUAACUUGUACUUCCUGCAAGCAUGUUUCUGAUAUUUAAAAGUACUAAUGCUUCAAUCUUGUCUUGUGAUUUAAAAUAUCGAAUAUCUUUAGUUCGAUACUUUUUACUAUUAUAUGAGCAGUGACAACUUUCUUUGAAAAGUAUUCUGAUUAUUUUAAUCAGUUUUCUGGAAAUUAUUGUCUGAGUCCUUUUCCAGUUUGAAAACUAUUAAUGACUCCAUAGCAGUCAUAUUUCGAUACUACAAUAUAUGCCUGGUCUUCUGUCCCAGACAUAAACCCUGGAAAUUUUAAAUAGCGAAAAUAGUUGUUUUAAUUCCUUUGAGCCGCAUUGAGGUGGAUUUUAAAACUGUACUCAGACUUUAAUGAAAUUGAUUUUGACAGUAUUUUAAAACUGAAAAUGAAAGAGUUUUCAGAAAGGUUUUGAAAAAGAUGAUUGUAUGGCGUAAGGGGCUAGUGAUUAGUCCAGCCAGAGAGACCAGCAAAAAUAUUUUGUUUUGAUUGGAUGAAUGCGUAAGAGGCCGUGGCGGCGGUCCAGCGAAGGGCUAGGUAUUAUAUGAAAUAUAUAUAUAAUGCCAGAUUUGCCAAAGGCCAAUGUGUUGCCUUCUAUUCGGUACCUAUUGUUUGGAUCUACUUCUACGAAGCAUGAUUCGGUGCUAUCACAGGAUGUCCUGAUCAGCUGUGUUAGUGCGCCGUCAGUUGAGGAUUCCAAUCCAAAAACUGGUCAUUUAUUGUUUAAGCUUAUGAUAGCUUAUGUUUACUGUCAAAUAUAUCUUGUGAAUUUUCAAGCAUAUUGAUUUAUAUGUUUGAUAAACUUUUGAGUUACAAAUGUUAUGAUUUACUUCAAAAGUUUGCUCUAUUUCAAAUACUCUGAUUCAAUUCAAAAGAAUUUAUAUCUUGUGGCUCUUGCCUUUCCUAUUAUCUUGCUGAGCAUUUUUGCUCACUCUUGCUAUUGUUUCUCACCCUUUCAGCUAGGGAUUGAGAUAUCACCUGUAUAAGCUGCGCGUAAGAUUGAAGUUAGGCGAGAUUGCCAGGGAGAUGUUUACAAGAGUAGUUAUGGUUAGAAUUUGAUUUAUUUCAAUUCAGUUGUAAAUAGAUUUAUUUAUUUGGUUAUCAGUUAUUCUUCUUAUCGAAGUUUAGCUGUUAAUGUAGUUUAAGUUGUAAUAAGAUUGUAAGUUUUAGUUUCUGAUUUCAAUGCUGUAACCUAUUAGCGAUCCUGUUUUUAGGGGGUCAAAGUGAUUUUGAUUUAAAUCUCUUUUAAAAUUUCCAGAUUUUGAAAUAUCUGUUUUACCUUCUUCCGCAAAUACAGGUUUUUAAAUAAUUUUGUUUUAGUGGCACCAAAUCCAGACCCCCGGAUUUUGGGGAUGUCACAGUUGGUAUCAGAGCUGUAGGUUAUAAGUUAUUGAAAUCAAAAUAUAGGUGGUCUUACAAGUUAAGGAGAUGUUUAGUUGAACCUCAUAUAGAGGUACGUCAAGACUAUUGGGUAUAGUCUUUGCUAUUAGAACUGAGAUUGGAGUAUUGAUUCUGAGCAAUCACUUUGAGGUAUAUCCUAGUUUGCAGUUACAGGAUAGUGAGUUGGAUCUAAGGAGAAACAUGAUGGAACACCAUUAGUUUUCAAUCUUUUUGAACUUGAGGUUGACUUUUUGAGUAACCAAUCUCAGCUAGACUCGUUUGUAUACCUGUCUAGUCUAGAAUGUUUCUUUUCAUCUCUACCACUUUUUGAGUAUUAGUGGAGGGUCAUUUAUUGAUUUUCUAGAUAUAUAUAUAGAAUGAGUAUGAGACUUGUUGGGUUAGAGAUUCUUUGAUUUGAGGAUUAUAUAGAAUUCGUGUUUAGCUAUUUAAUUAGUGCUAUGAGUAGGCUAGAACUCCAACGCUCUACAAUGUUGAUUGUCUAAAGUUGAAGAUGACUUCUGAUCGUACCAAGCUGAAUAAGACUUUUUACUAAAGUGGAUUGCGGUGAUGGAAUCUUUAGAGUCGAAUACGAGUCGGUCAGAAUAUCAGAACAUCGAGAUGAGUCGUUAAAAUCGAAACGAGCCAUCAGAAGAAUCAAUCGAGAAGAUAUUUGUGUUCUUGUUGGCAAUACCUUCCUCAUUGUUGAUUAUAUUGAUUAUUUUCUCAAUCAAUAAUCUAUUUUAACAUCUCUUUUAUAAAGUUGUUUAUUAAAAAGCGUAUACUCUCUCUUGAGUAGUAUUGCUAUACUUGUGUUGGCCCAUAUUUUGGGUUUUGUGACAGAGUCUAAUAUGAUACCUAUUUUUAGGUUGUGGUAUGCCCUGUCGAGUUUGUGAAAAUUCAUUUAUACUUUUUCAUUUCUUCUCAAAAUGGUGAAUGAUUCUUAUUUCAAUAUAUCACCAUUUACUCGUUAUGUAUAAAUAUUCUUUCUGGUUAUUCUUUUCUCUAGAAUAACUCCUUUGAAAUUUUUUUCAGUUUUGAUCCAAGGUGUGCAUCAGAUUUUAAUUCGUCGAAAGACAAUGAUCAUUUAUCUGAUUCUAAAAUUCCUUUUAUAAUUAUUUCCUCUAACUGAGAUGAACAACCCUAUUCGUAGGGGACACAAUGACUACCUGUCUGUGUGAUAGGAGUUUGAUGGGACGCCAUCACUUGUGUGUUGUGCAUUACAAGAAGGCUAAUUACCUUUAGUAGUAUCUCCAAUUAGAUACGCAACAUAGUUCUCUAGAUCAUAUUGAUCUCUCAGUAAUUCUUAAUUUCAAAGUAGUUUUGUUUUUGAAACUAAUACAUAUGACAAUUACUUUAAUAUAUCAAAUCUGAUAUAUUUCAAAAAAAAAAAAAUUCAUGAUUCUUCUUUCUCCAAUUAAUUUUUGAGGGUAGGCCAGCCAGUUUUGGACGAGCUAAUCAUGCCAAUGCAUUUCAAGAUUUCGUAUAAGACUACAUUUAUAAAAGCAGAUCAUGAUUCGACUUGCAAGCAAUGACGUGCUCUAGUUCUUUCUUCGUGGAUUCCGAGGACGGAAUCCUUGUAAGGGGGGAAGUUUGUGAUGACUCGGAAAAUUAUAUAAUUGUUUAUUAGUUGUUAUUAAUUUUCUAAAAAGAUGAGGAAUAAAAUUUUAUAUUUUAUUCCAAUUUAUUGGGUUUUCCAAAACAAUUUUGAGAUUUUCUAUAAUUAUGUGAUUAUUUGAUUUAAUUGUGUUACUUGUUAAAUGUGCAUUUGAUUUGUUAUUUUAGUCUGAGCGGGUAGCUUAGAAAAUUUGAUUUAUGUUAUUCUUUUUGAUAAAGCAAAAUUGUCUUUUGAUUUCAAAACCAAUAUUUAUUUUGAAUUGAGCCCAAGAGUUUUGCCGGAUUUAAAUUACCAAAAUAUUCAAAUUGUGGUAUUUUUAUAUUUUUGUUGGAAUCAAAAAUAUUUGAAAGUUUGCAAAUGAUUAUUUUAAUUAUUUGCAAUUUAAAAUGAUUUUGAACAUUAUUUCUACAAAUAGAGAAAAGUUUUAUAAUAAUAUUAUUUUUACAAAUAUUGUGUAUUCCGAGUUCUAUACUUUUAUAUAUAGAUUUUAUUAUUAAAUUUGGGAAAUAUUUUAAAACCCCAAAUUGUUAUACAAUUUUUAUUAAUUGUGUGAAUAUGAUUUUAGUAUAAUAUUCAUACAUUUUGUUAAUUGGAAAAAGAAAGGUAGAUGUAGUACACGUGAAGUAUACAUUUUAUAGGCCCUGCGUAUGUUUAGUCUUUAUACUUAUAUAGAAAAGCAGAGUAAUCAGUCGGUGCAUAUAGUUUUGGAGGAAACAGGGGAAACUGAAUUAGGGUUACAGAAGUCGCCACCGUUAAGGAGGUGGAGCCAGCCUUGUGUGUACUGAAGCUUAUAUAGGCAUAUACUCACGGUUGUGUGUUGCUGUUGGUGCGGGUUCGGAGCAUAAGCGAUGGUGGUGGUGUGUCGAUUGAUGGCGGCGGCUUGCCGCCUGUUGGAUUGAUCGCGACUGAAUCGAUGGAGAAGGGGGCCGCGUUAGCAGAUGGAGAAAUAAGGUGAGAGAUCGAGUUAGAUAUGAUGGUAGAGAGGCUGGGUUGAUUGUGAAGCUGUUGAUGGUGCGGCGAAAGCAUGGAUGAAGGAUGGUUGCCGAGCGACGGUGAAAGUCGCAUGAGAUGCAGGUAGGGUGCGAGAACAGCCCUGUAGUGCUGCCGUGUUGUGGCUUAUAUGCUGCAGCGAGAAGGGAGGAGGGAUCAGCUGUGACAGAGAGAGGGAGGCAGACAAGUGUUUGAUUAAAUGUCUGUGAGAAAGAAAAGCUGGAGAAGGUGGGGUGCGGCUGCUGUUAGGUGUUGUAUAGAAGUGGGGGUGAUGAGUUGUGUUGGAAGUUGAAUGAAGGAGCUACUGUGAGCUGGUUUAUGAAGGCAGGAGUGUGUCGAUGGUUGUAGUGGGUCUGCUGGUUGGAGGCAGAUGCUUGUAUGGUUACCGGGGCAACGCGGAGGCAGUUGUUGUCACAGGUGGGUACUUGUGCCCAUAGGUCAGUCGUGUGAUUGAUUGUUGGAUUGAGUGCUGGUUGGAUUUGACGGGAGUUGUAGACGGUAGUGGGACAGCCAGAAUCUGGCCAGCCUAUUGCAGGAACAGGGGUAUGGGGAGGUGAUGUUCAUGACAUGAUUUGGUUGGAGAAAGUAAUGGGGAUAUUGAUAACGAUAAAGUCUGGUUCCGGCAGGUAGAGGUUUAGUUGUGGAUGGCGCUUUGAACUCGGCAAGUUGAUUAUAAUCAGGAGGGGAGUUUGAUGUGAAAAUUGAUGUAUAAAACAGUUCUGGCGUAGCCACCGGAGACUGGUCGGUGGUGCAAUACGAUUGUAGGUGUGUGUAUGAGUUGGAUACUUGUGGUGGAACAGUGCUUUAGACGGGAUAGUGGUGAAGGCUGGGGAAGAGGAAAUAUGAUAUGUUUUGUUAGAAGGGUUGCAGAAAGAAUUAGAGAGGAUACAGAGGUGCCAGGAGAAUAAAAUGUUAAUUUUAUUGUUGUUAUAAUUGUUAUUAUUGUUUUUAUUAACAAUGAUAAUAACGAUAAUAAUAAUAAUCUUUAAUAUUCUAUUGAGCCAAUUAUAGGUAACUGCCGAUUAAAUAGCAUGGAAUAGUGGCUUGUAUAUAAAUAUUAGUGUUGAUUUAAAUUCCGGAUUAUAUUUAUUUAAAAUCCCGCGACAAUUAUUAUAAAUUUUAUCUAAAAUUUCAGAAGUUAUUAUCUACUUCUGGAAGUCAAUUAUUGAUUUCGGAUUAAAAAUAUUAUAAUAUUGUCGCUAUUAUUUUAGUUUAAAUCCCAGAUUGAUUAUUGAUUAUGAAUUAUUAUUAAUUGUGACUUGUUAAAUUGUCGGAUGUUAUUGUUAUUUGAAUCACAUACUUAGCUAUAUAAGCUGGUGUUUUGACUUAUAUUUAUAUUGGACGGGAUUGUUGUGUUAUUGAAUUGUGGUACUCAAUUUUAAAAAGUGUUCUGUCCAAAUUUCAAAUAAUUUAUUAUUUUAUAUUUGUUUAAAUGUUGAGCUGAUUUGAGAUAUGAUUGAAUUACAAUUGGACUUGUAAUUCGGAUUUGGAAUUUAUCUAGGGAUGUAUUAUUGAGUGUUCAUAUAUAUAAUCAAAUAUGAGAUUAUAUACAGGAGUUAUNUUUGUGAUGACUCGGAAAAUUAUAUAAUUGUUUAUUAGUUGUUAUUAAUUUUCUAAAAAGAUGAGGAAUAAAAUUUUAUAUUUUAUUCCAAUUUAUUGGGUUUUCCAAAACAAUUUUGAGAUUUUCUAUAAUUAUGUGAUUAUUUGAUUUAAUUGUGUUACUUGUUAAAUGUGCAUUUGAUUUGUUAUUUUAGUCUGAGCGGGUAGCUUAGAAAAUUUGAUUUAUGUUAUUCUUUUUGAUAAAGCAAAAUUGUCUUUUGAUUUCAAAACCAAUAUUUAUUUUGAAUUGAGCCCAAGAGUUUUGCCGGAUUUAAAUUACCAAAAUAUUCAAAUUGUGGUAUUUUUAUAUUUUUGUUGGAAUCAAAAAUAUUUGAAAGUUUGCAAAUGAUUAUUUUAAUUAUUUGCAAUUUAAAAUGAUUUUGAACAUUAUUUCUACAAAUAGAGAAAAGUUUUAUAAUAAUAUUAUUUUUACAAAUAUUGUGUAUUCCGAGUUCUAUACUUUUAUAUAUAGAUUUUAUUAUUAAAUUUGGGAAAUAUUUUAAAACCCCAAAUUGUUAUACAAUUUUUAUUAAUUGUGUGAAUAUGAUUUUAGUAUAAUAUUCAUACAUUUUGUUAAUUGGAAAAAGAAAGGUAGAUGUAGUACACGUGAAGUAUACAUUUUAUAGGCCCUGCGUAUGUUUAGUCUUUAUACUUAUAUAGAAAAGCAGAGUAAUCAGUCGGUGCAUAUAGUUUUGGAGGAAACAGGGGAAACUGAAUUAGGGUUACAGAAGUCGCCACCGUUAAGGAGGUGGAGCCAGCCUUGUGUGUACUGAAGCUUAUAUAGGCAUAUACUCACGGUUGUGUGUUGCUGUUGGUGCGGGUUCGGAGCAUAAGCGAUGGUGGUGGUGUGUCGAUUGAUGGCGGCGGCUUGCCGCCUGUUGGAUUGAUCGCGACUGAAUCGAUGGAGAAGGGGGCCGCGUUAGCAGAUGGAGAAAUAAGGUGAGAGAUCGAGUUAGAUAUGAUGGUAGAGAGGCUGGGUUGAUUGUGAAGCUGUUGAUGGUGCGGCGAAAGCAUGGAUGAAGGAUGGUUGCCGAGCGACGGUGAAAGUCGCAUGAGAUGCAGGUAGGGUGCGAGAACAGCCCUGUAGUGCUGCCGUGUUGUGGCUUAUAUGCUGCAGCGAGAAGGGAGGAGGGAUCAGCUGUGACAGAGAGAGGGAGGCAGACAAGUGUUUGAUUAAAUGUCUGUGAGAAAGAAAAGCUGGAGAAGGUGGGGUGCGGCUGCUGUUAGGUGUUGUAUAGAAGUGGGGGUGAUGAGUUGUGUUGGAAGUUGAAUGAAGGAGCUACUGUGAGCUGGUUUAUGAAGGCAGGAGUGUGUCGAUGGUUGUAGUGGGUCUGCUGGUUGGAGGCAGAUGCUUGUAUGGUUACCGGGGCAACGCGGAGGCAGUUGUUGUCACAGGUGGGUACUUGUGCCCAUAGGUCAGUCGUGUGAUUGAUUGUUGGAUUGAGUGCUGGUUGGAUUUGACGGGAGUUGUAGACGGUAGUGGGACAGCCAGAAUCUGGCCAGCCUAUUGCAGGAACAGGGGUAUGGGGAGGUGAUGUUCAUGACAUGAUUUGGUUGGAGAAAGUAAUGGGGAUAUUGAUAACGAUAAAGUCUGGUUCCGGCAGGUAGAGGUUUAGUUGUGGAUGGCGCUUUGAACUCGGCAAGUUGAUUAUAAUCAGGAGGGGAGUUUGAUGUGAAAAUUGAUGUAUAAAACAGUUCUGGCGUAGCCACCGGAGACUGGUCGGUGGUGCAAUACGAUUGUAGGUGUGUGUAUGAGUUGGAUACUUGUGGUGGAACAGUGCUUUAGACGGGAUAGUGGUGAAGGCUGGGGAAGAGGAAAUAUGAUAUGUUUUGUUAGAAGGGUUGCAGAAAGAAUUAGAGAGGAUACAGAGGUGCCAGGAGAAUAAAAUGUUAAUUUUAUUGUUGUUAUAAUUGUUAUUAUUGUUUUUAUUAACAAUGAUAAUAACGAUAAUAAUAAUAAUCUUUAAUAUUCUAUUGAGCCAAUUAUAGGUAACUGCCGAUUAAAUAGCAUGGAAUAGUGGCUUGUAUAUAAAUAUUAGUGUUGAUUUAAAUUCCGGAUUAUAUUUAUUUAAAAUCCCGCGACAAUUAUUAUAAAUUUUAUCUAAAAUUUCAGAAGUUAUUAUCUACUUCUGGAAGUCAAUUAUUGAUUUCGGAUUAAAAAUAUUAUAAUAUUGUCGCUAUUAUUUUAGUUUAAAUCCCAGAUUGAUUAUUGAUUAUGAAUUAUUAUUAAUUGUGACUUGUUAAAUUGUCGGAUGUUAUUGUUAUUUGAAUCACAUACUUAGCUAUAUAAGCUGGUGUUUUGACUUAUAUUUAUAUUGGACGGGAUUGUUGUGUUAUUGAAUUGUGGUACUCAAUUUUAAAAAGUGUUCUGUCCAAAUUUCAAAUAAUUUAUUAUUUUAUAUUUGUUUAAAUGUUGAGCUGAUUUGAGAUAUGAUUGAAUUACAAUUGGACUUGUAAUUCGGAUUUGGAAUUUAUCUAGGGAUGUAUUAUUGAGUGUUCAUAUAUAUAAUCAAAUAUGAGAUUAUAUACAGGAGUUAUCAGAUUAUAUUUGUAUGAAUAUUAAAGCAUGCAAAUUCUCUGUUAUGUGCUGAUGUGACUAAUUGCAAUACUAUGUGUAUCUAUUACCUAUAUGUAUUAUAUAUGUUUAUAUUGCGAAGGGGUAGUAAUAUAAAUUCGAUUCUGCGAAUUGACACUGCACUGGAUUGCUCUCGACUAAAAUAUUAUACUGCUGUUAUAUAUAGUCUCUCGAGACGUGUGCACCAACAAUUUUCAUAAAGCAAGCAAAUAGCGUGGCAAGGCAAGUCAGAAAUAAUUCGAUAAGGCAGAUGGUGCCGUAAGAUAGUCCAAUAGAGUGUGGUAAUUGGUGAGGUUAGCAAUUAAAGCCAAUCUAGGAAUCUCGAGUAUGUGACUAGGUUGUCACAAGCAUUUCUGUCAAAGGCAAGUAUUCCUAUUCUUCUCUUUUAUUUAAAGAGCAACUAUUUCAAUUCCUCUUUUCAUAAAGCAAGUUUGCAAUUAUAACUUGUACUUCCUGCAAGCAUGUUUCUGAUAUUUAAAAGUACUAAUGCUUCAAUCUUGUCUUGUGAUUUAAAAUAUCGAAUAUCUUUAGUUCGAUACUUUUUACUAUUAUAUGAACAGUGACAACUUUCUUUGAAAAGUAUUCUGAUUAUUUUAAUCAGUUUUCUGGAAAUUAUUGUCUGAGUCCUUUUCCAGUUUGAAAACUAUUAAUGACUCCAUAGCAGUCAUAUUUCGAUACUACAAUAUAUGCCUGGUCUUCUGUCCCAGACAUAAACCCUGGAAAUUUUAAAUAGCGAAAAUAGUUGUUUUAAUUCCUUUGAGCCGCAUUGAGGUGGAUUUUAAAACUGUACUCAGACUUUAAUGAAAUUGAUUUUGACAGUAUUUUAAAACUGAAAAUGAAAGAGUUUUCAGAAAGGUUUUGAAAAAGAUGAUUGUAUGGCGUAAGGGGCUAGUGAUUAGUCCAGCCAGAGAGACCAGCAAAAUUAUUUUGUUUUGAUUGGAUGAAUGCGUAAGAGGCCGUGGCGGCGGUCCAGCGAAGGGCUAGGUAUUAUAUGAAAUAUAUAUAUAAUGCCAGAUUUGCCAAAGGCCAAUGUGUUGCCUUCUAUUCGGUACCUAUUGUUUGGAUCUACUUCUACGAAGCAUGAUUCGGUGCUAUCACAGGAUGUCCUGAUCAGCUGUGUUAGUGCGCCGUCAGUUGAGGAUUCCAAUCCAAAAACUGGUCAUUUAUUGUUUAAGCUUAUGAUAGCUUAUGUUUACUGUCAAAUAUAUCUUGUGAAUUUUCAAGCAUAUUGAUUUAUAUGUUUGAUAAACUUUUGAGUUACAAAUGUUAUGAUUUACUUCAAAAGUUUGCUCUAUUUCAAAUACUCUAAUUCAAUUCAAAAGAAUUUAUAUCUUGUGGCUCUUGCCUUUCCUAUUAUCUUGCUGAGCAUUUUUGCUCACUCUUGCUAUUGUUUCUCACCCUUUCAGCUAGGGAUUGAGAUAUCACCUGUAUAAGCUGCGCGUAAGAUUGAAGUUAGGCGAGAUUGCCAGGGAGAUGUUUACAAGAGUAGUUAUGGUUAGAAUUUGAUUUAUUUCAAUUCAGUUGUAAAUAGAUUUAUUUAUUUGGUUAUCAGUUAUUCUUCUUAUCGAAGUUUAGCUGUUAAUGUAGUUUAAGUUGUAAUAAGAUUGUAAGUUUUAGUUUCUGAUUUCAAUGCUGUAACCUAUUAGCGAUCCUGUUUUUAGGGGGUCAAAGUGAUUUUGAUUUAAAUCUCUUUUAAAAUUUCCAGAUUUUGAAAUAUCUGUUUUACCUUCUUCCGCAAAUACAGGUUUUUAAAUAAUUUUGUUUUAGUGGCACCAAAUCCAGACCCCCGGAUUUUGGGGAUGUCACACCCUUCUUUGGCAAAAUAAUCUGCUAAAGUAUUUAAGUGCCUGGGAAUCAAUACAAGGCUAACUCUGUGAAUAAAUUUAUUACCAAGCAGAUCCUGGAAGGAAGCAUCCCAGUAAGUGCCUCCUUGGAAUUUAAGAAAAUUCCGAGCAAGUGUAGCAGAGUCCGUAAAAAUCACACAUGAAUUAAUAUUGAGAAUAUUAUGGUGCAGAUGGCGU